GAUGAACGCUAGCGGCAGGCCUAACACAUGCAAGUCGAGGGGCAUCACGAGGUAGCAAUACUUUGGUGGCGACCGGCGCACGGGUGCGUAACGCGUAUGUAACCUACCUAUAACAGGGGCAUAACACUGAGAAAUUGGUACUAAUUCCCCAUAAUAUUCGGAGAGGCAUCUCUCCGGGUUGAAAACUCCGGUGGUUAUAGAUGGACAUGCGUUGUAUUAGCUAGUUGGUGAGGUAACGGCUCACCAAGGCAACGAUACAUAGGGGGACUGAGAGGUUAACCCCCCCACACUGGUACUGAGACACGGACCAGACUCCUACGGGAGGCAGCAGUGAGGAAUAUUGGUCAAUGGACGCAAGUCUGAACCAGCCAUGCCGCGUGCAGGAAGACGGCUCUAUGAGUUGUAAACUGCUUUUGUACGAGGGUAAACUCACCUACGUGUAGGUGACUGAAAGUAUCGUACGAAUAAGGAUCGGCUAACUCCGUGCCAGCAGCCGCGGUAAUACGGAGGAUUCAAGCGUUAUCCGGAUUUAUUGGGUUUAAAGGGUGCGUAGGCGGUUUGAUAAGUUAGAGGUGAAAUCCCGGGGCUUAACUCCGGAACUGCCUCUAAUACUGUUAGACUAGAGAGUAGUUGCGGUAGGCGGAAUGUAUGGUGUAGCGGUGAAAUGCUUAGAGAUCAUACAGAACACCGAUUGCGAAGGCAGCUUACCAAACUAUAUCUGACGUUGAGGCACGAAAGCGUGGGGAGCAAACAGGAUUAGAUACCCUGGUAGUCCACGCAGUAAACGAUGAUAACUCGUUGUCGGCGAUACACAGUCGGUGACUAAGCGAAAGCGAUAAGUUAUCCACCUGGGGAGUACGUUCGCAAGAAUGAAACUCAAAGGAAUUGACGGGGGCCCGCACAAGCGGAGGAACAUGUGGUUUAAUUCGAUGAUACGCGAGGAACCUUACCCGGGCUUGAAAGUUACUGACGAUUCUGGAAACAGGAUUUCCCUUUGGGGCAGGAAACUAGGUGCUGCAUGGUUGUCGUCAGCUCGUGCCGUGAGGUGUCGGGUUAAGUCCCAUAACGAGCGCAACCCCUACCGUUAGUUGCCAUCAGGUCAAGCUGGGCACUCUGGCGGGACUGCCGGUGUAAGCCGAGAGGAAGGUGGGGAUGACGUCAAAUCAGCACGGCCCUUACGUCCGGGGCUACACACGUGUUACAAUGGUAGGUACAGAGGGUCGCUACUCCGUGAGGAGAUGCCAAUCUCGAAAGCCUAUCUCAGUUCGGAUUGGAGGCUGAAACCCGCCUCCAUGAAGUUGGAUUCGCUAGUAAUCGCGCAUCAGCCAUGGCGCGGUGAAUACGUUCCCGGGCCU
rnacentral:rRNA from 1 species